AUAAAAAAAUGUUGUCGUUUCCUACUUCCGGCCGCGGCUAUUUGAAAAGAAGCGAAGGCUGCAGAAGCAUGUCACCAUUUCAAGUAGACUUCUGUCUGUGUAGAGUACAAGAUACCUGUAAGGUACUGCAUACUAAUGUUGUACAUAAAACAUUGGGAGAAAAGUAAGCAACGAAAAUGAUAGAAACGAAGAUGAAAAUACACAACACACCAGUUGGUUUUCAGCUGAGUCGGAAUAUAAUGAAACAGAAAGUGAGAUAUGAGGAAAGUGACUCUGAAGAUUCUAGUUUUAAACGGAAGUAAACAGAAACUGAGGAUAGGACUGAAAAGGAGUAUCUCCUGUUCGGAAACCUUCAGUGGCAGUAGAAGUGAAAUUUAAGCCUCUAGAUCUUCUACUAGCAAUGAAGGAAGAUCUGUUUACUGUCCAGCACCACAACCAAAAUUUCACCAACAGAAAGCCAAAUCAAGGUCUAGAGAAAGAUUAAGAUCUCUUGAUUGGUCAAAGUCUAUGGAGAGAUCAGUCUAGACAAAGGUCAGGAUCAAGGUCAUGGUUUUGUCAAGACGAGACGGGUACUGAUCAAGAGAAGAAUUCUUUUCCCACUAAGGAGGCUACCAUUACCCACUGGCUGGAGUAUAAGAAUAGAGGCUACCAAAAAGAUCAAGAGGGUCACAGUUUUAGUGUUUAGUGAUGGCUAUUUUUAGCAACACUAAACUUUUAAUGGACACAAUUUCUAAAAAAACAAACUAAGAGUUGAUUGUUGCAAUUUGGCAUGGUGAAAUGUGUAUGGGUGAAGUGAGCACUGAUAAAAUAUAGAGAUCAGAAGUUUAUUCAUUUUAUAUAGAUAUUGAUGAUUGAUUCAGCUGUUGUUAUAGAUCAAACUUUGUAUCUUAUUUUAAGCCAAUGAACCAGUAAUAUUGUGGGUACAAUAUCUUAAAAACUAGAAAGAUUUAAUUGUUAUUUGGUAUGGUGAAUUAUGAUACAAUUUGAUGAUCAGAAGUAAAAUCUCUUGGAAGAUAUCGAUAAAUGAAUCCACUAUGAUAUCACAAUAUAACUUAGUUUCUUGGGAGUUCAGUUGCAAUGUUAUCAUCUACUAGGCUACUUGAGACGGUCUGAUUCCCAGUUUGGUGAUAAAUAUAGAGUUCAUGUGUAUUAAUUACUGUUGAUCUUAGAUUAUAGCACAUGUACCUUUAAAGCAUGUGUAAUUGUUUAUAAACCUCAAUUCUAAUAAAAAUGUGUUUGUAUGUAUAAUUGUAUGAUAAAAAGUGUGAUUGACAAAUAAAUGAAUGAUUGAUUUGAAUAUUGUAACUCUACCUUUAAGAAAAGUGUAUACAUUGUGUUUGACAAAUGAAUGAUUGAUUUGAAUAUUGUAACUCUACCUUUAAGAAAAGUGUAUACAUUGUGUUUGAAUGAUCAUAUUGUAUGAAGCGUAAAAUAAACUAUUUAUUGAAUUUUUUAUUUAAUUGAUUUGACUAAAUGAAUGUACAUUCAAUUUGUUAUAGUGCAGUAGAAUAUAAUACAUUUGAGUGAUGUGUCACAUGGGGUUAAAAUUUAUCCUUUAUCUGUGAUGCUAGUUGAACAAGUUGCCAGAGUCCAGGGCAAGUAGAAAUUACAUAGGGUUAGCGGAAACAGGUAUUUUUAUAAUGUGUUUGAAUUUGAUAAUGUUUAUAAAGUUAAGAAACAUGUUUCUACAUGAGUUUACCAUUCUGUCCUAUGCUGAUAGAUGAUUUAUUGUUAACAAUUCUCAUUAUAAGUUCAUAUCCAUUACUAAUUUGUGAGAAUGCAGAUAUUUUGAAAGAAUGUUUCUUUUUAAAAUCUUUCAUGUGUAAAAAUGUUAUGUGUGAUAUUUGAAUUAAAUUUAAUGAAACCUGUGCUUUCUUUUUUCAUCAUUUGCAAUCCAACAGCAAUGACUAGAUCCUGACGUGAAUCUGACGUCAAUUUCUGACCUAAGUCUGACGUAAAUCUGACGUCAGAAAAUAACGUCAAUGUGAUUUUCACUUUUGACCAUUAUUUGACGUAAUCCUGACGUCCAUUUUUGACGUAAAUCUGACGUAAAAAUGACGUCAAAUGCCUGCUGGGAUGUGUAAUGUAAUGAUAAUCUAAUAAUACAUGUUUAUUUUUGAUAGAUUGAAUGCAGAACAGAGCUUGUGAUAUAUAUUCUGGAACGACCUCACCAAGGACUAGCUUGGAAAAUUCCAGCUCAUGGACGUAAAAAAGUUCCUAAAACAGAACAUUGAUUCUACCACAGUUACAGUAACAGGCCGAGGACGCCUCCGCUCCCCAAAGACGGGUUCACCAAGGAACAACCUCAACAAAACUUGGACACAGCAAACUUCCUAAAACAGACCAACAUUCUACCACAGCUGCUGUCUGUCACAGGUCAUGGCUGAGGUCGUCUGCCCAAAGACUGGGUUCACUUAAUUAGGGACAAUGCCAACAAUACUUGGAUAACACCCCCUCAGAUCCAUUGCUUGUGGGGUUCAUAUGUGGAAAGCUAGAUCCUGAUGACAGUAUUAGAAGUGUGGCGUAUUACAUCUUAAACAUAACUGGUGUUCCUGGAAUGGAUACAUUUUCAGGGUAUCCAG